UACGGAGGGUGCGAGCGUUGUCCGGAAUCACUGGGCGUAAAGGGCGCGUAGGUGGCGCGACAAGUCAACGGUGAAAGCUCGGCGCUCAACGCCGAGUCGGCCGUCGAUACUGUUGGGCUUGAGCACUGUAGAGGCUAAUGGAAUUCCGGGUGUAGCGGUGGAAUGCGUAGAGAUCCGGAAGAACACCGGUGGCGAAGGCGGUUAGCUGGGCAGUUGCUGACACUGAGGCGCGGACAGCGUGG
rnacentral:rRNA from 1 species